UACUCCCACCUGGUUUGGUGAGAUCGGUGGGCUCGCAGUUCGCAUGGUUUGCACGGUUUGCACGUGAGAAAACUGUUCUUCGCACGAGUGCGAUUUCUCAGAAUGUGUUCUAUGAGAUGGAUUGCGAAGCAGCAUUGGAAUAUUUUCCCGGUAAGGACUAUAGCGGAACCCAGAGUAGGAGCAAGUCUUCUCACAGAAUCGAAAAAAUCAAGAUGGCAUCGAAAGCCAGCGCUGCCGUGUCCUCGUUGCGGGCUGGAGAGAAGAACCUGCGAUUGCGGACCAAAUUUCGUGUUACAACGUAGAAGACGACGUUGGGGGAACUGGGACGUGCCGCAACACGCUAGCAAGCAGUACCUGCUCGGAAAGAAGAGGACACAAGUUGCAGUGUAGGCCGCGACUUUUCGUUGAUGUGUGCGAGUGUGUGUCUAUGUAGACGUCAACGAAGGAACCUCUCUGACACUAUUCGCACACUAAGGAAGGCGCACAGCAGCUAGCCAGAUCUGUGGUUUACUUGCCUGGAUGUGCGGCGUGUGUGCAGAAAACGGAAAACCAGGAGUUGAAGUGCCAGCUGGACACCUCGCAGAACACAAUCGGUGCAGCCGGGAUUGUGAACACAUUGUGGAGCUCUCCAGCCUCAAGUCCAGGACCAAGAAUUUUCAUUUCGUGUGACAAAGUGCCGAAAGCAAGGCAAAACUGUGGAAGAAGUGCAGGAGACACACGUAAAAGAUACCCUUUUGCAUCAGAUACUCAACUGAAGAGGAGCCCCCCCUCCCCCCCUUGUUGCUCUCAAUGGAACCAAAAGUAGUAUAAAUAAAAAGCUUGUUC